rnacentral:rRNA from 1 species
UACGAAGGGGGCUAGCGUUGCUCGGAAUCACUGGGCGUAAAGGGUGCGUAGGCGGGUCUUUAAGUCAGGGGUGAAAUCCUGGAGCUCAACUCCAGAACUGCCUUUGAUACUGAAGAUCUUGAGUUCGGGAGAGGUGAGUGGAACUGCGAGUGUAGAGGUGAAAAUUCGUAGAUAUUCGCAAGAACACCAGUGGCGAAGGCGGCUCACUGGCCCGAUACUGACGCUGAGGCACGAAAGCGUGGG